CCUACGGGUGGCAGCAGUGGGGAAUAUUGCACAAUGGGGGAAACCCUGAUGCAGCGACGCCGCGUGAGUGAAGAAGUAUCUCGGUACGUAAAGCUCUAUCAGCAGGGAAGAUAAUGACGGUACCUGACCAAGAAGCCCCGGCUAACUACGUGCCAGCAGCCGCGGUAAUACGGAGGGGGCCAGCGUUAUCCGGAUUUACUGGGGGUAAAGGGAGCGUAGACGGCAGCACAAGUCCGGAGUGAAAUCCCGGGGCUUAACCCCGGAACUGCUUUUGAAACUGGGCGGCUGGAGUGGAGGAGGGGUAAGCGGAAUGCCUAGUGUAGCGGUGAAAUGCGUAGAUAUUAGGAGGAACACCGAUGGCGAAGGCGGCAUACGGGACGGGAACUGACGUUGAGGCUCGAAAGCGUGGGGAGCAAACAGGAUUAGAUACCCCAGUAGUC
rnacentral:rRNA from 1 species